rnacentral:rRNA from 1 species
GAUCAACGCUGGCGGCGCACAUAAGACAUGCAAGUUGAACGGACUUAGUCGAAAUAUUUAUAUUUUGAAGCGGUUAGUGGCGGACUGGUGAGUAACGCGUAAGGAACCUGCCUAUUAGAGGGGAAUAACAGGGAGAAAUCAUUGCUAAUACCGCAUAUGCCAUAGAUAUCACAUGAUAACAGUGGGAAAGGAGCAAUCCGCUAAUAGAUGGCCUUGCGUCUGAUUAGAUAGUUGGUGGGGUAACGGCCUACCAAGUCGACGAUCAGUAGCCGGACUGAGAGGUUGAGCGACCACAUUGGGACGGAGAUACGGCCCAGACACCUACGGGAGGCAGCAGUCGGGAAUAUUGCGCAAUGGAGGAAACUCAGACGCAGUGACGCCGCGUAUAGGAAGAAGGUUUUCGAAUUAUAAACUAUUGUCGUUAGGGAAGAGAAAGGACAGUACCUAAAGAGGAAGCUCCGGCUAACUACGUG